GGUCAAUUUAUAUCAUUUCCUCUGUCACUGGAUGUAAGCUGUCCUGUGUUCUCUGUGUUUCUUUUUCUAUCUUGUUCAGUUAAUUAUUCCAGAAUAACCAAAGCACAUAUAUGAAAGUUACUGUCAGAGUGGUGUGAGAGGAUAAAGAAGUAUUUAUGUUCUUCCCUUUUUUCCUAUUUUCAUUCCUGUGCUUCAGAGGUACGGCUAACUAAAGAUACAGUGAUCCAAACUCUACGUGAAACUAGUCUUUAUUGCCCCAGAAGGGCUUUGCUCACAGCCUCUAUAGGGAAUUGCUUUUCAUUCUUCAGGCCAGACUCAUUUCUCAGGUGCGGAACAAAUCAUUGUGCUAUCUCUUCCUUCUAGCAGACUCUAUACAGUCUCCACCUUUGGUCUCUUCCUUUCAUUUACUGCCAGCACCUGUGCUAAUCAUUACUCUGCUGGAUCAGUGUUGAGGUGAAAUUUCGUUUUCUCGGAUUCUUCUCUUUAUGCUCUCA
rnacentral:lncRNA from 1 species